rnacentral:misc_RNA from 1 species
AAUCGACACGAGGCCGAAAACAGCGAUUGUCCGGUGCAUCAUCCAGACUUGCGGCGUCGGGUGACGUGUGGCUGCUGGCCCAAAUAUGCAGUAAUCUGCCACGCUUUGGUCAAACAGGAUUUUUGAUUUUUGAUUCGCUUCGUACCCGUCGAGGUAAGCAUGGCGAAAAAGCUCGACAUUGCCAGGGAACUGCUCUUUGUUCGGCACGAGAACAUACAGAUGCAGUCCGACGUGUC